rnacentral:tRNA from 1 species
GGGGUCUUAGCUCAGUUGGUAGAGCACCACAAUGGCAUUGUGGGGGUCAGCGGUUCGAAUCCGCUAGGCUCCACCA